rnacentral:rRNA from 1 species
ACUCAAAGGAAUAGACGGGGGCCCGCACAAGCGGUGGAUUAUGUGGUUUAAUUCGAAGCAACGCGCAAAACCUUACCUGGGCUUGAACUCCUGCAAAUCUGUUAGAGAUAAUAGAGUGCCGCAAGGAAUGUAGAGAGAGGCGCUGCAUGGCUGUCGUCAGCUCGUGUCGUGAAAUGUUGGGUUAAGUCUCGCAACGAGCGCAACCCCUAUCCUUAGUUGCCAGCAUUAAGUUGGGCACUCUAGGGAAACUGCCUGGGUUAACCAGGAGGAAGGUGGGGAUGACGUCAAGUCCUCAUGGCCCUUAUGUCCAGGGCUACACACGUAAUACAAUGGCCAGUACAAAGGGAUGCAAGACUGCGAAGUCAAGCAAAGCUCAAAAAACUGGUCUCAGUCCGGAUUGGAGUCUGCAAUUCGACUCCAUGAAGUUGGAAUCGCUAGUAAUCGCGGAUCAGCACGCCGCGGUGAAUACGUUCUCGGGCCUUGUACACACCGCCCGU